rnacentral:rRNA from 1 species
GAUGAACGCUGGCGGCGUGCCUAAUACAUGCAAGUCGAGCGAACAGAUGAGGAGCUUGCUCCUCUGACGUUAGCGGCGGACGGGUGAGUAACACGUGGAUAACCUACCUAUAAGACUGGGAUAACUUCGGGAAACCGGAGCUAAUACCGGAUAAUAUAUUGAACCGCAUGGUUCAAUAGUGAAAGACGGUUUUGCUGUCACUUAUAGAUGGAUCCGCGCCGCAUUAGCUAGUUGGUAAGGUAACGGCUUACCAAGGCAACGAUGCGUAGCCGACCUGAGAGGGUGAUCAGCCACACUGGAACUGAGACACGGUCCAGACUACUACGAGAGGCAGCAGUAGGGAAUCUUCCACAAUGGUCGAAAGCCUGACGGAGCAACGCCGCGUGAGUGAUGAAGGUCUUCGGAUCGUAAAACUCUGUUAUUAGGGAAGAACAAAUGUGUAUGAAACUAUGCACGUCUGGACGGUACCUAAGCAAAAAGCCACGGCUAACUACGUG